GCCUGGUGUUAUGGUGAACACCUGUAGUCCCAGCUACUUGGGAGGCUGAGACAGGAGGUUCACUUGAACCUAGGAGUUUGAGGUUGCUGUGAGCUAGAUUGAUGCCACGGCACCCUAACCUGGGGUAACAGAGUGAGAUUCUGUCUCAU
rnacentral:SRP_RNA from 1 species